GCCCUGAUCAGCUCAGUUGGUUGAGCAUGAAAGUCUUAGUUUCAGGGUCAUGGGUUCAAGCCCCAUGUUGGGCA